rnacentral:rRNA from 1 species
CACCGCGGUUAAACGAGAGGCCCUAGUUAAUAAUAUUACGGCGUAAGGGUGGUUAAGGAGAGCAAAAUAAUAAAGCCGAAUGGCCCUUUGGCCGUCAUACGCUUCUAGGUGUCCGAAGCCCAACCACACGAAAGUAGCUUUAGCAAAGACCACCUGACUCCACGAAAACUGAGAAACAAACUGGGAUUAGAUACCCCACUAUGCUCAGCCAUAAACCUAGACGUUCAACUACAAUUAGACGUCCGCCAGGGUACUACGAGCAUUAGCUUGAAACCCAAAGGACCUGACGGUGCCUUAGACCCCCCUAGAGGAGCCUGUUCUAGAACCGAUAACCCCCGUUAAACCUCACCACUUCUAGCCACCCCAGCCUAUAUACCGCCGUCGCCAGCUUACCCUGUGAAGGUAAUAAAAGUAAGCAAAAUGGGCACAACCCAAAACGUCAGGUCGAGGUGUAGCGUACGAAGUGGGAAGAAAUGGGCUACAUUUUCUAUUAUAGAAUACUACGAAUAUGCAACAUGAAAUAGUGCUUGAAGGAGGAUUUAGUAGUAAAAAGGAAACAGAGUGUCCUUUUGAACCCGGCUCUAAGGCGCGUACACACCGCCCGUCACUCUCCCCUGUCAAAACGCAAUAAAGAUAUAUAACAAAAAAGCACUGACAAGGGGAGGCAAGUCGUAACAUGGUAAGUGUACCGGAAGGUGCACUUGGAUAAAACCCAGGGCGUGGCUGAG